ACCAGCAGCCAUAUCACUCUGCAACUCACAACUGGCAACCCACUGAAGCUAAGCCUGGUCAGUACCUGGAUGGGAGACCUCCUGGGAAAAACUUAGGUUGCUGCUGGAA
rnacentral:rRNA from 1 species